AUUUCCGUGUGUUUGCGUCUGUAUGUGUCUCAAUAAAUAAUUUUAGGGUAUAUUUGGAAUGUAGAGAGAAAUUUAAUGAAGAUUGUUACAGAAAGUGAUAAUCUUUCUGAAAUCCUAGAUUUUUAUACUCAUUAUGAAUUAUGCUGAAAGGAAACGUAAAAUGAUACUGAAGAUCUUUCCUUUCAACAUUCUAUAUUAUCUCCACAAAAUUCUGUGUGUGUAUAUAAUAUUUUAGGCAGGUAUAAUAUUUUUGCCAGUGGUUUUUACUUGCCCCUUUAGGUUCUGAGAGUUUACUUCUGUGUUUUGAUUGGCAGAGUUGAUGCUUCUGGGUUUCA
rnacentral:misc_RNA from 1 species